GGGGGCUGUGUCAAGGGUAUAAGGUCGGCUCUGGAUACACACCCAGGGGUUCUGUACGCCACUUGCAUCUUAAUGCCCUCUCUUUUUUUCUACCGAAGCAGGACCCACUGGGCGUGACGCACGGGCGAGUGCGGGUGAGGGUGCAAUAUUUACCUUUACACAGGAUCGAGCGCCUGGCCGGGAAUCGAACCGGCCGCCUUUCAUCCACAGGUCCAACUCCUGCCACAGGUCCAAAUCCUUUGCUGCUGGACUACAUACUGCCAGUACAGUCUGGGUUCCAGAGAGAGAAAAAUGAGCAACAAUAUGAGUUAAUCUUCAGAAAUAUACGGCUGCAGAGAAGAGAGCUCUUCUACCCUUACAAGCGGCCCCUCAUGGCGUAAUGUUUGUGGAGAUCAUCAGCUCGUUCAUACACACUGUUUUAGUGCACAUAGACAGUGAUGUCACAGUGUCACUGAGUAGUCAAAGUUGGGGAUCACAUUUCGAUGAGGAUGAGUGAAGAAGAGAAGGAUGAGGAGGAAGAGGAGGGUGAAAGAACUAGAUUGAAACAUUUCUCUGUUUUUAAAUAAAUAGAGAACUCUCACUCUCCUCCUCC